rnacentral:lncRNA from 12 species
AUGGGGAAAAAAACCCACUGUGGGGUGAAGUUACAGUCAUGUUUGUUUGCAGGUCAGUCCAGGGGCCAGGGGGCAGGGCAGGGGCCAGGGCAUAGGACGGCGCGAGCGUGGGGGCUGUGUCCACCUAGAGGAGGGGCUGCCUGCUUCCAACCCACGCGGACGCAUCGUGCGGCCUUAUGGCUCCGACGGGGACGUGGCCGGACACUUGGUUUAGAUAAUAUUUUCUGUCUUGUCCUCCUCUCCGCCUCCCACCAUGGGACGCGGGAAAGAUUUCCAGCCUGAUGCUCUGGGCCGGGGGCCAGCCAGAGAUGACGCUCCUCCUCCCGGCUCCACGCCGGACCCUGGCUCAUUUCGUGCUUCAUUAGGCUGGAGAUCUGAGAAAGGGCGGAAGAAAAUCUUUGCUUAAGUAAAUCAAAGAACCAGAAGAAUCCACACACACGCUGCAGGCACCGACUGAGUCAGGCCCUUUCCACAAGCUGUGAAGCAGCCUCCGAGCGUCCUGGUGCUCAGUGGUAGACACAGCACUCAACACUGCAGUACCUCGCAGUUAGGGCCCCUCAGAGCCCCAGGAUGCACCCCCACCCCCACCCCCACCCCCACCCCGCCAGUCCUGCCUGGAGCCCCAGCCCCUCUGGGUCCGAGCAGCUUAAGUGACCGAGCCCACCAUCCCCUGGGCAGCCCCUUCUAUUACGAGUGCUCUCCGGCUGUGCUGGCGUCUCCUCUUUGUUCGGCUGCAGCCCGACCCCUCUGACUUCCACUAUUAGCUCUGGGUCUUGCCCUUGUUGCCAUGCAGAUCUGUAGGUAAGAAAGAAAAAGAAAAAAAAAAAAAAAAAAAAAAGACACCAUCCCCAAAACAAACCAUUUCUUCUUAUUCCUCAUGCACCUGUCCCCGAACCAGAAAGUCAAACCCCAUAAGAAGCAGCCCUCAAUACUCCGGCCAAACCAUUGCCUGUUGCCCACGCAAUGUGCCGUUCUUUGCCCUGACCUAUUCCCUAUUCCCAGCUCCUGACUCUUGGGCUGGUUUCCUGAUUACAGGCUGGCAAGACUCAUUUGGACCUGACCUCCUUGAACAUGUGUCCCUCACUUCCUUCCUCACAGCCUCCCACCCCUUUGUUUCUGCUCCUCCGAGCAGCACAUGGUAAAUACCUUGCCUGGAUCAGCAGCAGGGCUUUCAUGAACAGUUGCACAGGUUAUGCAUUGCUCUGCUGCACAUCAGCCUCUAGAUCCUACCUUUAUUCCCUCAAGGCUGUGCUGUGGCAGUCAGUACCCCCGCGGAGUUCACUGCAUCCCUUCAGAGGAGGCAAGAUAUAAGCAGAAGCAAACGAGAGCUCCUCCUCUGGAAUCUCUUGGUCCUCUAACCACCCACCUACUCUUCUCAGAUGGGUUGUGAACUCUCGGAGGCGGAGGGUAGAGUACACGCUUACCUACCUCUGGGUCCUGAACAGCAACUUCCACCACUGGGCCCUGGCCUCAACAUUCAAGAGUCUUACUUGAAUGGCUGGGACGAUGAAUGAGUCCGUGAGUGACGGAGGAGUAAGAUCUGCCUGCGAGGUGACGGCGGAGCGGUUGAACAGCAGGACAGGAAUGUGUGACCUCCCUAUGCUUUAGAGGCUCUGGCGGCCAAUGCAGGGCACCUGGGUGGCUCGGUCCAUUAAGCAGCUGACCGGAUUUGGGCUCAGGCCCCGAUCUCAGGGGCCUGGGAUCGAGCCCCACAUUGAGCUCCAUGCUCAGCAUGGAGUCUGCUUGAGGACCCUCUCCCUCUCCCUGCCCUGUUCCCCACAGACCUCUCUCUCUGUCUCAGAUAAAUAAACAAAUCUUAAAAAACA